CGUAGGGUGCGAGCGUUGUCCGGAAUUAUUGGGCGUAAAGAGCUCGUAGGCGGUGUGUCGCGUCGGCCGUGAAAACCUGCAGCUUAACUGUGGGCUUGCGGUCGAUACGGGCAUCACUGGAGUUCGGCAGGGGAGACUGGAAUUCCUGGUGUAGCGGUGAAAUGCGCAGAUAUCAGGGAGGAACACCGGUGGGCGAAGGC
rnacentral:rRNA from 1 species